CCGAGUAGAAUUAAAUUUGGGUUGCUGGUAGUUUGCACAAGGAGAGAAUAGGGAUGUGAAAAUUAAAAGGCGCGGUCAGACAAUGAGAUCCUGUGCA
rnacentral:tRNA from 15 species